ACUCCUACGGGAGGCAGCAGUGGGGAAUAUUGCACAAUGGGCGCAAGCCUGAUGCAGCAACGCCGCGUGAGGGACGACGGCCUUCGGGUUGUAAACCUCUUUUAGUAGGGAAGAAGCGAAAGUGACGGUACCUGCAGAAAAAGCACCGGCUAACUACGUGCCAGCAGCCGCGGUAAUACGUAGGGUGCAAGCGUUAUCCGGAAUUAUUGGGCGUAAAGAGCUCGUAGGCGGUUUGUCGCGUCUGCUGUGAAAACUGGAGGCUCAACCUCCAGCCUGCAGUGGGUACGGGCAGACUAGAGUGCGGUAGGGGAGAUUGGAAUUCCUGGUGUAGCGGUGGAAUGCGCAGAUAUCAGGAGGAACAUCAAUGGCGAAGGCAGAUCUCUGGGCCGUAACUGACGCUGAGGAGCGAAAGCAUGGGGAGCGAACAGGAUUAGAUACCCUGGUAGUCCAUGCCGUAAACGUUGGGAACUAGAUGUAGGGACCAUUCCACGGUUUCUGUGUCGCAGCUAACGCAUUAAGUUCCCCGCCUGGGGAGUACGGCCGCAAGGCUAAAACUCAAAGGAAUUGACGGGGGCCCGCACAAGCGGCGGAGCAUGCGGAUUAAUUCGAUGCAACGCGAAGAACCUUACCAAGGCUUGACAUAUACCGGAAAUGGCUGGAAACAGUCCCCCCGCAAGGUCGGUAUACAGGUGGUGCAUGGUUGUCGUCAGCUCGUGUCGUGAGAUGUUGGGUUAAGUCCCGCAACGAGCGCAACCCUCGUUCUAUGUUGCCAGCACGUAAUGGUGGGAACUCAUAGGAGACUGCCGGGGUCAACUCGGA
rnacentral:rRNA from 1 species